UGAAAACGGGUAGUCCUUGUUCUGCUUGGGGGGCUUUAAGGAAGCAAAUGGACUUUCAGAACAGAGAUUGUCAAUAAAGGCUAGAACAUUAGUUCUAUCUAAAGAACAUGUGGCAACUUUUCCUCUAAUACAUGACAAGCAGCAAGAACAAAAGGUACUGUGUUCUAUGUCAAGCACUUUUGUCCAGGUAGUUUACUUCAAAACAAUAAUGCAUAUGAAAUACUUAUCAUGGGGCCUAAUCUAGCAGUCCAAUAGUAUAACUACAGGCAUUCCUAAAUAUAUAACUGUAAUCUACUCUUCACAGUGUGUAGGGAGAAACAAAUCUUUUAUUAUUGUAAUGGGAAAAUUAGUCAUCUAUUCUUAGUCUAUGUAAGAACUCAAAUAAUUUUCCUAGACAUCAUUAGAACUCCCUUAAUCAGCAGGGCACCAUCUUAUGCCUGUAUUCUCAGCUACUCAGGAGACUUCAAUCUGAGGAUCACAGUUCAAAGAUAGCAGAGCAGAAAAGUCCUCAAAACCU